UACGAAGGGGGCUAGCGUUGUUCGGAAUCACUGGGCGUAAAGGGCGCGUAGGCGGCCGUUCAAGUCGGGGGUGAAAGCCUGUGGCUCAACCACAGAAUUGCCUUCGAUACUGGACGGCUCGAGACCGGAAGAGGUCAGUGGAACUGCGAGUGUAGAGGUGAAAUUCGUAGAUAUUCGCAAGAACACCAGUGGCGAAGGCGGCUCACUGGCCCGGUACUGACGCUGAGGUGCGAAAGCGUGGGGAGCAAACAGG
rnacentral:rRNA from 1 species